ensembl:lncRNA
CCCCCCCCCCCCCCCCCCCCCCCCCCCCCCCCCCCCCCCCCCCCCCCCCCCCCCCCCCCCCCCCCCCCCCCCCCCCCCCCCCCCCCCCCCCCCCCCCCCCCCCCCCAGGGGCCCCACCCCCCCCGUGUGGCCGCUGUCACCGCCGACGUCCUGGUGCUCAGGGCUGAGCUGGACCUGCUGCAGGCCGUGAGUUUCUACUGGUUUCUACUGGUUUGUACUGGGAGGCAAAAAAACCGGCAAAAAUUGGGUCAAAAAUGGCCACAAAGUAGGUGGAAAAUGGGUGGAAAAUGGCAAAGGAGGGCUUAAAAUGGGUUAGAAGGGGGUUUGGGGGUACUGGUUGGUACUGGGAGGGACUGGGAUCAAACUGGGAUGAACUAGGAGGGACUGGGAGGGCAAAAAUGUGAGAAUUGAGUGAAAAUUGGGUAAAAAAGGGGGGAAAUAUGGGUAAAAUGGGUUUAAAAUGGCAAGUAAAGGGUUAAAGGGGGAUUUGUGGUUACUAGUUUGUACUGAGAAGGACUGGGAGGGAACUGAUUUAUACUGGGAGGGACUGGUAGGGGAAGAAGUGGGAAAAAUUUUGUGGGAAAAUGGUUAAAAAUUGGAAAGAUAUGGCGAAAAAAGGUUGAAAAGUUUGAAGGGGUUUGGGGUUGCUGGUUUGGACUGGUUUGGACUGGCAGGGGAAAAAAGGGGGCAAAACGGUGAAAAAUGGCAAAGAAAGGGUUAAAAAUGAGUUGAAAGGGGGUUUGGGGUUACUGGCUUGUACUGGUUUGUACUGGGAGGGACUGGGAGGCAAAAAAUGGGAAAAAUGGUGAAAAGGGGUUAAAAAUGGGGAAAAUAUGUGGAAGUAAGGAUUAAAAUGGUGAAUAAAGAGUUAAAAGGGAGAUUGGGGUUACUGGUUUGUACUGGUUUAUACUGGAAGGGACUGGGAGGGGAAAAAUGGUGAAAAAUAGGGAAAAAAGGGUUAAAAAUGAGGAAAAUAUGCGGGAAAGGGUUAAAAAGGGUUAAAAUGGGGUGUGGGGUUACUGGUUUGUACUGGGAGGGAACUGAGAUGGACUGUGAGGGAAUGGGAGGCGAUCUGGGGGCUCGAAAAGGAUCAGAAUUGGGGAAAACUCAGGAAUUUCAGGGUUACUGGUUUAUACUGGUGGUUUCUGACCUUUCCCCUUCCCCGCCAGAACCAGCACCCGAACCCCCAGUUUUUCACCCAGAUCUUACUCACACAGGAUGAGUUGGUGACGGACGCGCUGCCCCUGGAGCUCCUCCCAGCCGGUAGGGGACACUGUAAUGCCCGGGGGGAAAGCAGGAAGUUGGGGGGAAUUUGGGGGAAUUUUGGGAGAAAUUUUGGAAGAUUUUUAUGGGAAUUUUUAGGGCAAUUUAGAGAAAAUUUGGGGGAAUUUUGGGGGGAAAUUUGGAGAACUUUUGGGGGGUAUUGGGGUAUUUUUAGGGGAAUUCCCCCCCCCCCCCCCCCCCCCCCCCCCCCCCCCCCCCCCCCCCCCCCCCCCCCCCCCCCCCCCCCCCCCCCCCCCCCCCCCCCCCCCCCCCCC